AGCACCACAACAGGUGGAGCCUGCGGUUUAAUCGGACUCAACGCCGGGAAACUCACCAGAUAAGACAGCUGAAUGAUAGUCGGGCUGAAGACUCUACUUGACUAGCUGAGAGGAGGUGCAUGGCCGUCGUCAGUUCGUACUGUGAAGCAUCCUGUUAAGUCAGGCAACGAGCGAGACCCACGCCAACAGUUGCCAGCUCGUCCUCCGGGAUGGUGGGGACACUGUUGGGACCGCCUCUGCUAAAGAGGAGGAAGGAAUGGGCAACGGUAGGUCAGCAUGCCCCGAAUUAUCUGGGCCACACGCGGGCUACAAUGGGUGGGACAAUGGGUAUCGACACCGAAAGGUGAAGGCAAUCUCCUAAACCCAUCCGUAGUUCGGAUUGUGGGCUGCAACUCGCCCACAUGAAGCUGGAAUCUGUAGUAAUCGUGUCUCAAAAUGGCACGGUGAAUAUGUCCCUGCUCCUU
rnacentral:rRNA from 1 species